rnacentral:lncRNA from 1 species
AAAGAUCCGCAGGCUCCAAGGCACUCACAACGAGAGGCCGUUAAGGAAAAGGGAAAAACAAAGGAAGCGUCGUAGGUUGCAAAAAAUGGUCAAAUUAUGAAGAACAUGUGGGCCCCACCAUAAGAUGAUCAAAAAAGAAACCUAAUUACACAUUAAUUAAAAUCUUUUUCUUACAGAAAUACCAGGAAUAUUGUUCAUCAGAUAACAUUUUCGACUGUUCUCUUAUUUUUAACAUUGCUCUGUUCUCUCGAUGAAAAAAUAAAAUAAAAUAAAAAAAGACACAUAAACAACAAAAUAAAAUAAAAACCACUGAUACAGAGAUGAUCAGCUCACGGGGAUUAUGGAAGAAUCAGCGCAGCACUCACCAAUUAGACAGCAGCAACGCAAAGCCGCGAGACAGCCCUCAAGGAAACCAGGCCUUGGAGGUGGAGCAGCAUACUGUGGAGGUGGUGCCAUCACUGGGGGAUAACCUUGAGCAGGGUAAGGAGCAGCAUAAUGUGGAGGUGCAGCAGCAUACUGUGGAGGUGGUGCCAUCGCUGGGGGAUAACCUUGAGGAGGGUAAGGGUCAGGACAAAAAUACUUGGGAUCACUCAUAUUUGGAAACUAAAACUCAAAAAUCAAAAUCUAGUCCAAUUGACAAGUGAUUGAAUGUAGGCGGAAAAUGUUUUAUAGAAAAAAAGGGUUGUCCAAGGGCCUCGCCCCCCACGGGGUAAAAAAGUCA